GCAUCAGUUUGGACUUAUCCCCCGGGACUCUCAUAGUGCCUCAUGCCAGAGCAACUAGCUCUGAACCAUUGCCCAGUCUCUGCCGAUAGGGUGCUGGCAAUGAAGCAGACUGCACAGUA
rnacentral:snoRNA from 1 species